CGGUGGAGCAUGUGGUUUAAUUCGAUGAUACGCGAGGAACCUUACCAGGGCUUAAAUGUAGGUUGCAUUAGACAGAGAUGUUUAUUUCUUCGGACUACUUACAAGGUGCUGCAUGGUUGUCGUCAGCUCGUGCCGUGAGGUGUCAGGUUAAGUCCUAUAACGAGCGCAACCCCUGUCGUUAGUUGCCAGCAUGUAAAGAUGGGGACUCUAACGAGACUGCCGGUGCAAACCGCGAGGAAGGUGGGGAUGACGUCAAAUCAUCACGGCCCUUACGUCCUGGGCUACACACGUGCUACAAUGGUAUGGACAGAGAGCAGCCACUGGGUGACCAGGAGCGAAUCUACAAACCAUAUCACAGUUCGGAUCGGAGUCUGCAACUCGACUCCGUGAAGCUGGAUUCGCUAGUAAUCGCGCAUCAGCCAUGGCGCGGUGAAUACGUUCCCGGGCCUU
rnacentral:rRNA from 1 species